rnacentral:rRNA from 1 species
UGGGGAAUAUUGCACAAUGGGGGAAACUCUGAUGCAGCGACGCCGCGUGAGUGAAGAAGUAUUUCGGUAUGUAAAGCUCUAUCAGCAGGGAAGAAAAUGACGGUACCUGACUAAGAAGCACCGGCUAAAUACGUGCC